UGAACGCUGGCGGCAGGCCUAACACAUGCAAGUCGCACGGUAACAGGAAGAAGCUUGCUUCUUUGCUGACGAGUGGCGGACGGGUGAGUAAUGUCUGGGAAACUGCCUGAUGGAGGGGGAUAACUACUGGAAACGGUAGCUAAUACCGCAUAACGUCGCAAGACCAAAGAGGGGGACCUUCGGGCCUCUUGCCAUCGGAUGUGCCCAGAUGGGAUUAGCUAGUAGGUGGGGUAACGGCUCACCUAGGCGACGAUCCCUAGCUGGUCUGAGAGGAUGACCAGCCACACUGGAACUGAGACACGGUCCAGACUCCUACGGGAGGCAGCAGUGGGGAAUAUUGCACAAUGGGCGCAAGCCUGAUGCAGCCAUGCCGCGUGUAUGAAGAAGGCCUUCGGGUUGUAAAGUACUUUCAGCGGGGAGGAAGGGAGUAAAGUUAAUACCUUUACUCAUUGACGUUACCCGCAGAAGAAGCACCGGCUAACUCCGUG
rnacentral:rRNA from 1 species